GAUGAACGCUGGCGGCGUGCCUAAUACAUGCAAGUCGAGCGGACAGACGAGGAUCUUGCUCCGAUGACGUGAGGGACGGGCGGGUGAUGAACACGUGUAUGACCGGCCGUUGAGGCUGGCAUAAGGUCGGGAGCCCUGAUAUCACACACGAUAAGAUAGUGAACCGCGGGGAUCUUUGGUGAAAACCGUAUUUGCUGUCCCUAGGAGAUGUUUCCUCGCCGCAUUAGCUAGUUGGUAAGGUAACGGCCUACCAAGGCGACGAUGCGUAGCCGACCUGAGAGGGUGAUCGGCCACACUGGAACUGAGACACGGUCCAGACUCCUACGGGAGGCAGCAGUAGGGAAUAUUGCGCAAUGGGCGAAAGCCUGACGGAGCCACGCCGCGUGAGUGAUGAAGGUCUUCGGAUUGUAAAACACUGUUAGUUGGGAAGAACAAAUGUGUAAGUAUCUAUGCCCGUCUUGACGGUACCUACUGAGAAAGCCCCGGCUAACUACGUG
rnacentral:rRNA from 1 species